rnacentral:rRNA from 1 species
CCUACGGGAGGCAGCAGUGAGGAAUAUUGGUCAAUGGACGAGAGUCUGAACCAGCCAAGCAGCGUGAAGGAUGACUGCCCUAUGGGUUGUAAACUUCUUUUAUAAAGGAAUAAAACGAGGCACGUGUGCCUUUUUGCAUGUACUUUAUGAAUAAGGAUCGGCUAACUCCGUGCCAGCAGCCGCGGUAAUACGGAGGAUCCGAGCGUUAUCCGGAUUUAUUGGGUUUAAAGGGAGCGUAGAUGGGUUGUUAAGUCAGUUGUGAAAGUUUGCGGCUCAACCGUAAAAUUGCAAUUGAUACUGGCAGUCUAGAGUACAGUUGAGGUAGGCGGAAUUCGUGGUGUAGCGGUGAAAUGCUUAGAUAUCACGAAGAACCCCGAUUGCGAAGGCAGCUUACUAAACUGUGACUGACAUUGAUGCUCGAAAGUGUGGGUAUCAAACAGGAUUAGAUACCCCUGUAGUC